UAUGACAUAACAAGACUCUUAUUACACAGAGGAGAGGAAGAAAUGAGAACACUGAAUGCCUUGAAGUGUGCCACUGCAUGAAUACAUCAUGGAUGGGAAAACAAAGUGCCUUGGGAGUAAGAGGGCUUCAGCAACACCUUGCCUGCCUCACACCAUACUGCACAGAGACGAGCACUGAAUGCUGAUGGGAGCAGAGCAGCAGCUCAAGGGAGACGAGUAACGGUCCUGCUCUGUGGCCUCUCACUGCCAGUCAUCGAUCCUGAGUGCUCCACAAAGUCCUUCAAGGAACAUGACCACCAGUUCAGCAAUGACAACGCUGUUGACGGAUGUCAGGACAAACUCCUCGGCACGAAGUGUGAUGAGAGUGCAACUCUGUCCAAAUGAC